CACGUAGGAGGCGAGCGUUGUCCGGAAUCAUUGGGCGUAAAGAGCGCGCAGGCGGCUUGGCAAGUCGGGUGUGAAAUCCCGGGGCUCAACCCCGUGACUGCAUCCGAUACUGUCAGGCUAGAGGUAGGUAGGGGAGAUCGGAAUUCCUGGUGUAGCGGUGAAAUGCGCAGAUAUCAGGAGGAACACCGGUGGCGAAGGCGGGUCUCUGGGCCGUAACUGACGCUGAGGAGCGAAAGCAUGGGGGGCGAACAGG
rnacentral:rRNA from 1 species